rnacentral:rRNA from 1 species
AUGGCGCUCUCGGCGUUGAGCGCUCUUCUGGGCGUGGGCGCGUCCAGGAUGAUCGUCAAGGCCGUCGGCGGUGGCGGAACCGGCAAAGCCAGCAGCUUCAGCAGGACUCUGAAGGUCGUCAGCGACAGCAACGGCGGGGUCGGCCGCCGCGGCUUCGGCCAGAUCCGGCGCUUCUCUGGCGGCGCAAUGGCCCGUUUGCCUGAGCAAACCAAGGACCCCUCACAGCAAGGCGUAUGUUACUUGGCCGCUUACUGCGCGGGGCUCAUCCUCUGCAGCGCGGCCCCGUUUGGUUUAAAGUACAUUGCCGAUCGGUACGCUGAAAGACGCAAGCCUCGCUACGGCGAAUUCAAGGACGACGUGCGCCAGUUCGGCGACGAGUACUUCGGCGACCAGUGGCCGGGGGCGGAUGACAGGAAGCUCGCCGAGCUUGGCAAGGAGAUCGCCCUGCUAGGCGGAGCUCUGAACAGGUGGAACCGAGGCGUUGGCGAGCUAAGCGUAGGGCUAAGCAGGUGUGAUCCCCAGCCGGAAGUCGCCCGGCUGCGCAAACAGCCCCUCCACCCUGGAACCCCCGACGAGUUCGAGAUCCGCAGGAAGUGCGAUUAUGUGGUGGAGGAAAAAGCUGCUGAAUUCUCCAAGUGGCGGGCGGCGGCCGAUGAAAAGCUGGCUGAACUCAAUAGGGAGAUCACGGAGGUGCUCAGGUCGAUCAGGAAGGAAAACGAACUCUAA